UACGUAGGGGGCUAGCGUUGUCCGGAAUCAUUGGGCGUAAAGCGCGUGUAGGCGGUCCGGUAAGUCUGCUGUGAAAGUCGGGGGCUCAACCCUCGAAUGCCGGUGGAUACUGUCAGGCUAGAGUGCGGAAGAGGCGAGUGGAAUUCCUGGUGUAGCGGUGAAAUGCGCAGAUAUCAGGAGGAACACCUAUUGCGAAGGCAGCUCGCUGGGACGUAACUGACGCUGAGACGCGAAAGCGUGGGGAGCAAACAGG
rnacentral:rRNA from 1 species